GCCCUGAUAGCUCAGUUGGUUAGAGCGUCAUCCGGAUACACUAAGGUUGUGGGUUCAAUUCCCAGUCAGGGUA
rnacentral:tRNA from 1 species